GAUGAACGCUGGCGGCGUGCUUAAUACAUGCAAGUCGAACGGAAAGGCCCUGCUCUUGCUGGGUGCUCGAGUGGCGCACGGGGGUGUAACACGCGUGUAACCUGUCCCUGACUUUGGGAUAACUCUACGAAACUGGGGCUAUUAUCGGAUAUGAGCUCCUGCAGCACGGUGGGGGUUGGAAAGUUUCGGCUGUUUGGGAUGGACUCGCGGCUUAUCAGCUUGUUGGUGGGGUAGUGGCUUACCAAGGCUUUGACGGGUAGCCCGCCUGAGAGGGUGGCCGGGCACAUUGGGACUGAGGGACGGACCAGACUCCAACGUGACGCAACAGUGGAGAGUAUUGCGCAGCGAGCGGGAGCCAGAUACGGAGGCGCCCCGUGCGGGAUGACGGCCUUCGAGUUGUGAACAGAUUUCGACUGAACCGAGGCCUGAGUGACGGUAAUGGGUAAGAAAGCACCGGCUAACUACGUG
rnacentral:rRNA from 1 species